rnacentral:rRNA from 1 species
GACGAACGCUGGCGGCGUGCUUAACACAUGCAAGUCGAACGGAAAGGCCCUGCUUUUGUGGGGUGCUCGAGUGGCGAACGGGUGAGUAACACGUGUGUAACCUGCCCUUGACUUUGGGAUAACUUCAGGAAACUGGGGCUAAUACCGGAUAUGAGCUCCUGCUGCACGGUGGGGGUUGGAAAGUUUCGGCGGUUGGGGAUGGACUCGCGGCUUAUCAGCCUGUUGGUGGGGUAGUGGCUUACCAAGGCUUUGACGGGUAGCCGGCCUGAGAGGGUGACCGGCCACAUUGGGACUGAGAUACGGCCCAGACUCCUACGGGAGGCAGCAGUGGGGAGUAUUGCACAAUGGGCGGAAGCCUGAUGCAGCGACGCCGCGUGCGGGAUGACGGCCUUCGGGUGGUAAACCGCUUUCGCCUGUGACGAAGCGUGAGUGACGGUAAUGGGUAAAGAAGCACCGGCUAACUACGUG